UGUUCCUACGGGACGCAGCAGUGGGGGAUAUUGCACAAUGGGGGAAACCCUGAUGCAGCGACACCGCGUGGGUGAGGAAGCGCUUCGGCGUGUAAAGCCCUAUCAGUGGGGAAGAAAAAGGACGGUACCCAAAGAAGAAGCACCGGCUAAAUACGUGCCAGCAGCCGCGGUAAUACGUAUGGUGCAAGCGUUAUCCGGAAUGAUUGGGCGUAAAGGGUGCGCAGGCGGUCCUGCAAGUCUGGAGUGAAACGCAUGAGCUCAACUCAUGCAUGGCUUUGGAAACUGGAGGACUGGAGAGAAGGAGG
rnacentral:rRNA from 1 species